AAUAGAUACCCCGGUAGUCCACGCUGUAAACGAUGGGUACUAGGCUUUGUGGGAAUAGACCCCUGCAGAGCCGGAGCUAACGCAAUAAGUACCCCGCCUGGGAAGUACGGUCGCAAGACUAAAACUCAAAGGAAUUGACGGGGGCCCACACAAGCGGUGGAUCAUGUGGUUUAAUUCGAAGCAACGCGCAAAACCUUACCUGGGUUUGACAUCCCCGGACCGCUGUAGAAAUACAGUUUUUGUAGCAAUACAACCGGGAGACAGGUGCUGCAUGGCUGUCGUCAGCUCGUGUGGUGACAUGUUGGGUUAAGUCCCGCAACGAGCGCAACCCUUGUCUUUAGUUGCCAGCAUUAAGUUGGGCACUCUAGAGAGACUGCCGUGGUUAACACGGAGGAAGGUGGGGAUGACGUCAAGUCCUCAUGGCCUUUAUAUCCAGGGCGACACACGUGAUACAAUGGAUGACACAAAGGGAAGCGAACCCGCGAGGGGAGCGAAUCUCAAAAGUCAUUCUCAGUUCGGAUUGGAGUCUGCAACUCGACUCC
rnacentral:rRNA from 1 species